GACGAACGCUGGCGGCGUGCCUAAUACAUGCAAGUCGAACGCAGUGGGGACGGGUGAGUAACACGUGGGUAACCUCGGAUCAGAGGGGAGAACACUUGGAAACAGGUGCUAAACCGAUACUGAUGGAUGGACAUGCGGUGCAUUAGCUAGUGGGUGGGGUAACGGCUCACCAAGGCCACGAAGCAUAGCCGACCUGAGAGGGGGACCGGCCACACUGGGACUGAGACAGGGCCCAGACUCCUACGGAAGGCAGCAGUGGGGAAUCUUCGUCAAUGGACGAAAGUCGGACGGAGCAAGGACGCGUGAGUGAAGAAGGUUUUCGGAUCGUAAAACUCUGUUGUUAGGGAGGCGGUAUCUAACCAGAAAGCCACGGCUAACUACGUGCCAGCCGCCGCGGUAAUAC
rnacentral:rRNA from 1 species